rnacentral:rRNA from 1 species
UACGGGGGGAGCAAGCGUUGUUCGGAUUUACUGGGCGUAAAGGGCGCGUAGGCGGUCAGCACAAGUCAGUUGUGAAAUCUCCCGGCUUAACUGGGAGGGUGCGCCGGAAACUGGAGUGCUCGAGCGUGGGAGAGGAAAGCGGAAUUCCUGGUGUAGCGGUGAAAUGCGUAGAUAUCAGGAGGAACACCUGCGGUGUAGACGGCUUUCUGGACCAUUGCUGACGCUGAGACACGAAAGCGUGGGUAGCAAACAGG